rnacentral:lncRNA from 1 species
CCUCGAUAAACACUUUAAAAAUACUGUCAGCAUCAAAAAAUCCAUCCAUCCAUGUCCAACAACUAGACCAAAAUAGCCCCAUCUUAAGCUCCUUAUCUGAUCGAACUAAAACUUAUUUUGCAUCUCCUGUCACAUGGUGAGGCCAAAAACAAUAUCCACAUCUAUGUAACAAACAAAAAACUGAUCAAAUAGAACAAAAGGGAACCAAUCACCAAACCAGAACCGCUUUUCCUUCAAAAAUGGUGAAGAACCACACAAAGAUCCAUCUGAAAUGGAAGUGCAUAAACAAUAAGCAAGGGGAAAGCCCAGGAAGAAGACAAUGACAGUAGAAAAAUAUUAUACUCCCUCUACAAUGCUUCACGUCCAACAACCAGACCAAGAUAGCCCCACCUUAAGCUCCGACUUUGGUAGAAUCAAAACUUAUUUUGUAUCUCCUGUCAAAGGGUGGGACCAAAAACAAUAUACACAUGUACGUAACAAACAAAAAAUAGAUUAAACAGAGCAAAAGGGAACCAAGCACCAAACCAGAACCGCCUUCCCACGAGAACUGGUUAAUUAGAACCCAAAGAUCAAACAUUUGAAGAUUAAAGAGCAUAACAAUAAGCAAAGGGAAAAAGUUCACCUAGAAGAUAAAUCACAAUAGAAAAAUAAUAUACUCCUGUUGACACCCACCAUAAACACUAUACCAAUGGCAGCAUCCAAGAUUGGUCCAUAUCCAAAUAACCAGACCAAGAUAGCCUCACCUUAAAUACCUAACUUUGAUGGAAUCAAAACCAAUUUUGUAUCUCCUGACACAGGGUGAGGCAGAAAACAAGGUCCAAGUCUACGUAACAAAAUAAAACUAUAAUAGAGAGCAAAGAUAACCAAGGAUCAAACCAGAACAGUCUUCCACAGAAGCCUGAUUAAGAAACACACAACGAUCCGGCAUCUGGAAAUUGAAAAGAAUAACGAUAAGCAAGGGAAAGUUUAGGUAGAAUAUAAAAUUUAGUAAAAAAGUUACAAUACUAUACUCCCUAUGCAACCCUUGAUAAACACUAUAUCAAUGACAGCGUCAAAGGUUGCUCCGUGUCCAACAAUCAGACCAAGAUUGCACCACCAUAAGCUCCUACUUUGAUAGAAUCAAAACUUAAUUUAUAUUUUGUGUCAUAGGGUGAUGCAGAAAACAAUAUCCACGCCAACGUAACAAACAAAAAACUGAUGAAAGAGAAAAAAGAUAACAAAGCAUCAAACCGAACAGCCUUCCAAUUAAGAACCACAACGAUCAGAAAUCUGAAAAUUGAAGAGUAUAACGACAAGCACCGGAAACUCUAGGUAGAAGAGAAAAUAUAGUAGAAGAAAAUGUAGUAUAACAAUCUGCAUCCCUCAAUAAACAUUAUAUCAAUUGACAUCUUAUAUUAGUCCGCAUCCAACAACCCCACCAAGUUGGCCCCCACCUUAAGCUCCCACUUUGAUAGAAUAAAACUGAAUUUGUAUCUCCUGUCACAGGGUGAGGGCGAAAAAAAUAUCAAAGUCUACGUAACAAAAAAAAAAAAACUAUAAUAGAGAACACAGACAACCAAGCGUCAAACAAGAACUGCCUUUCAGAGAAGCUUGAUUAAGAACAAAACAGCAACCAAAGAUUUGUCCAUGUCCAAAAACCAGACCAAGAUAGCCCCCACCUUAAGCUCCUACUUUGAUAGAAUCAAAACCUAUUUUGUAUCUCCUGUCACAGGGUGAGGCUGAAAACAACAUCCAAGUCUACAUAACAGCAAAAGAACUAUAAUUGAGAGAGCAAAGAUAACCAAUUAUCAAACCCGAACUGCCUUCCAGUUAAACUUGAUUAAGAACCACAUAAUGAACAGGCAUCUGGAAAUGGAAGAGAGACUAACAAUAACCACAGGAAAGUCUAGAUGGAAGAUAAAUUGUAGUAGAAAAAAAUACUAUAUUAUACUCCCUCUGCCAUCCUCGAUAAACACUAUAAUUGACAGCGUCAAAGGUUGAUCUGUGGCCAAUAUAACUAAACCAAGAUUAGCCCCACCUUGAGCUCCUACUUUGAUAAAAUCAAAACAAAAUUUUUAUCAUCUGCCAUAGGAUGAGGCAGAAAUACAAUAUACACGUAUACGUAACAAACAAAAAAACUGAUGAUAGAGAGAAAAGAUAAACCCAGCAUCAAACCAGAAGUGCCUUCAAGUAAAGAACACCUGGAAAUUGAAGAGUAUAACGAUAAGUAUAGGAAACUCAAGGUAAAAGAGAAAACGUAAAAAAAAAAAAAAUAACUAUACUGUACACCAUCUGCCACCCUCGACAAACACUAUAUCAAUGAUGGCAUCAUAGAUUAGUCCAUAUCCAAAAACCAGACCAAGAUAACCCCCACCUUAAGCUUCAACUUUGAUAGAAUCAAAACCUAUUUUGUCUCCUGGCACAGGGUGAGGACCAAAACAUUGUCCAAGUCUACAUAACAAAUAAACAAUAAUUACAGAGCAAAGGUGACCAAUUAGCAAACCAGAACAGCCUUCCCGUGAAGCUUGAUUAAAAACCACACAGCGAUCAGGCAUCUGGAAAUUGAUGAGAACAACGGUAAGCAUGGGAAAGUCUAGGUAGAAGAUAAAAGAUAGUAAAAAAAAAAAAAACUAUUCUAUACUCUCUUUGCCAGGCCCACACCACUAUAUCAAUGACAGCAUCAAAGGUAGAUCCGUGUUCAAUAACCAGGCCAACAUUAGCCACACCAUAAGCUCCUUCUUUCAAAACUUAAUUUUUAUCUCCUAUCAUAGGGUGAGGCAGAGAACAAUAUCCACGUCUACAUAACAACAAAAAAUUGUUGAAACUGACAAAAGAUAACCAAGAAAACAAGAAGUGCCAUCCAUUAUGGAAAUUGAAGAGUAUAACUAUAAACACGGGAAACUCUAGGUAGAAGAGAAAAUGUAGUAGAAAAAAAAAAUACUAUUAUGUAUUUCCUUUGCGACCCUCGAUUUACAAUAUACCAAUGAUAACAUCAAAGAUCUGUCCGCGUCCAAAAACCAGACCAAGAUAGCCCCCACAUUAAGCUCCUACAGUGAUGGAAUCAAAACCUAUUUUGUAUCUCCUGUCACAGGGUAGGCCCAAAACAAUAUCCAAGUCUAUAUAACAACAAAAGAAAUAUAAUAGAGAGAUCAAAUGCAACCAAUUAUGAACCCAGAACUGCCUUCCAGUUAAGCUUGAUUAAGAACCACACAACGAUCAGGCAUCUGGAAAUUGAAGAGAAUAACAAUAAGCACGGGAAAGUCAAGAUGGAAGAUAAAUUGUAGCAGAAUUAAUACAAUACUAUACUCCCUCUGACACCCUCGAUAAACAUUAUAUCAGUGACAGCAUCAAAAGUUGAUAUGUCUCCAAUAACUAGACCAAGAUUAGCCCCACCAUAAGCUGCUUCUUUCACAACUUAAUUUUUAACCCCUGUCACAAGGUGAGGCAGAAAACAAUAUCCACGUCUACGUAACAAAUAAAAGAUUGUUGAAACUGACAAAAGAUAACCAAGCAUACCAGAAGUGCCUUCCAGUUAAGAACCACACAACAAUCAGACAUCUGGAAAUUGAAGAGUAUAACUAUUAGCACGGGAAACUCUAGGUAGAAGAGAAAAUGUAGUAGAAAAAAAAUACUAUUAUGUACUCCAUGUACUCCCUUUACCACCCACAUUAAACUAUAUCAAUGACAGCAUGAAGGAUUUGUCAGUGUACCAAAAACCAGACCAAGACACGCCCCCACCUUAAGCUCCUACUUUGAUAGAAUCAGAACCUAUUUUGUAUCUCCUAUCACAGGGUGAGGCUGAAACCAACAUCGAGUCUAAAUAACAACAAAAGAACUACAAUAGAGAGAGCAAAGGUAACCAACUAUCAAACCCGAACUGCCGUCCAGUAAGCUUGAUUAAGAACCACACAACGAUCGGGCAUCUGGAAAUGGAAGAGAAUAACGAUAAGCACCGGAAGGUCUAGAUGGAAGAUAAAUUGUAUUAGAAGAAAUACUAUACUAACUCCCUCUGCCACCCUCGAAAAACAUAUCAUGACCAUCAAAGGAUUGAUUGUGUGCAAUAACUGACUAAGAUUAGCCCUACCUUAAGCCCUACUUUGAUAAAAUUAAAACUUAAUUUUUAUCUCAUGUCAUAGGGUGGGGCAGAAAACAAUAUCACGUCUAUGUACAAACAAAAAUUGUUGAAAUGACAAAAGAUAACCAAACAUCAAACCAGAAGUGUCAUCCAGUUAAGAACCACCCCACGAUCAGACAUCUGGAAAUUGAAGAGUAUAUCUAUAAGCACGGGAAACUCUAGGUAGAAGAGAAAAUGUAUAGAAAUAAAAAUACUAUUAUGUACUCCCUUUGCCACCCUCGAUUAACACAAUAUCAAUGACUCAUCAAAGAUCUGUCCGCGUCCAAAAACCAGACCAAGAUAGCCCCCACAUUAAGCUCCUACAGUGAUGGAAUCAAAACCUAUUUUGUAUCUCCUGUCACAGGGUAGGCCCAAAACAAUAUCCAAGUCUAUAUAACAACAAAAGAAUAUAAUAGAGAGAUCAAAUGCAACCAAUUAUGAACCCAGAACUGCCUUCCAGUUAAGCUUGAUUAAGAACCAAACAACGAUCAGGCAUCUGGAAAUCGAAGAGAAUAACAAUAAGCACGGGAAAGUCAAGAUGGAAGAUAAAUUGUAGCAGAAUUAAUACAAUACUAUACUCCCUCUGACACCCUCGAUAAACAUUAUAUCAGUGACAGCAUCAAAAGUUGAUGUCUCCAGUAACUAGACCAAGAUUAGCCCCACCAUAAGCUGCUUCUUUCACAACUUAAUUUUUAACUCCUGUCACAAGGUGAGGCAGAAAACAAUAUCCACGUCUACGUAACAAAUAAAAGAUUGUUGAAACUGACAAAAGAUAACCAAGCAUACCAGAAGUGCCUUCCAGUUAAGAACCACACAACAAUCAGACAUCUGGAAAUUGAAGAGUAUAACUAUUAGCACGGGAAACUCUAGGUAGAAGAGAAAAUGUAGGUAGAAAAAAAAUACUAUUAGUACUCCCUUUACCACCCACUAUUAACACUAUAUCAAUGACAGCAUGAAGGAUUUGUCAGUGUCCAAAAACCAGACCAAGACAGCCCCCACCUUAAGCUCCUACUUGAUAGAAUCAGAACCUAUUUUGUAUCUCCUAUCACAGGGUGAGGCUGAAACCAACAUCCGAGUCUAAAUAACAACAAAAGAACUACAAUAGAGAGAGCAAAGGUAACCAACUAUCAAACCCGAACUGCCGUCCAGUUAAGCUUGAUUAAGAACCACACAACGAUCGGGCAUCUGGAAAUGAAGAGAAUAACGAUAAGCACCGGAAGGUCUAGAUGGAAGAUAAAUUGUAUAGAAGAAAUACUAUACUAUACUCCCUCUGCCACCCUCGAUAAACACACUAUAUAGUGACCACGUCAAAGGAUUGACUUGUGUGCAAUAACUUGACUAAGAUUAGCCCUACCUUAAGCUCCUACUUGAUAAAAUUAAAACUUAAUUUUUAUCUCAUGUCAUAGGGUGGGGCAGAAAACAAUAUCCACGUCUAUGUAGCAAACAAAAUUGUUGAACUGACAAAAGAUAACCAAACAUCAAACAGAAGUGUCUCCAGUUAAGAACCACCCCACGAUCAGACAUCUGGAAAUUGAAGAGUAUAUCUAUAAGCACGGGAAACUCGAGGUAGAAGAGAAAAUGUAGUAGAAUAAAAAUACUAUUAUGUACUCCCUUUGCCACCCUCGAUUAACACAAUAUCAAUGACUACAUCAAAGAUCUGUCGCGUCCAAAAACCAGACCAAGAUAGCCCCCACAUUAAGCUCCUACAGUGAUGGAAUCAAAACCUAUUUUGUAUCUCCUGUCACAGGGUAGGCUCAAAACAAUAUCCAAGUCUAUAUAACAACAAAAGAAAUAUAAUAGAGAGAUCAAAUGCAACCAAUUAUGAACCCAGAACUGCCUUCCAGUUAAGCUUGAUUAAGAACCAAACAACGAUCAGGCAUCUGGAAAUCGAAGAGAAUAACAAUAAGCACGGGAAAGUCAAGAUGGAAGAUAAAUUGUAGCAGAAUUAAUACAAUACUAUACUCCCUCUGACACCCUCGAUAAACAUUAUAUCAGUGACAGCAUCAAAAGUUGAUAGUCUCCAUAACUAGACCAAGAUUAGCCCCACCAUAAGUGCUUCUUUCACAACUUAAUUUUUAACCCCUGUCACAAGGUGAGGCAGAAAACAAUAUCCACGUCUACGUAACAAAUAAAAGAUUGUUGAAACUGACAAAAGAUAACCAAGCAUACCAGAAGUGCCUUCCAGUUAAGAACCACACAACAUCAGACAUCUGGAAAUUGAAGAGUAUAUCUAUAGCACGGGAAAUUCUAGGUAGAAGAGAAAAUGUAGUAGAAAAAAAAUACUAUUAUGUACUCCCUUUCCACCCCGAUUAAACAUAUCAAUGACCAUAAGAUUGUCGGUCCAAAAACCAGACCAAGACAGCCCCCACCUUAAGCUCCUACUUUGAUAGAAUCAGAACCUAUUUUGUAUCUCCUAUCACAGGGUGAGGCUGAAACCAACAUCGAGUCUAAAUAACAACAAAAGAACUACAAUAGAGAAAGCAAAGGUAACCAACUAUCAAACCCGAACUGCCGUCCAGUUAAGCUUGAUUAAGAACCACACAACGAUCGGGCAUCUGGAAAUGGAAGAGAAUAACGAUAAGCACCGGAAGGUCUAGAUGGAAGAUAAAUUGUAUUAGAAGAAAUACUAUCUAUACUCCCUCUGCCACCCUCGAUAAACACACUAUAUCAGUGACCACGUCAAAGGAUUGACUUGUGUGCAAUAACUUGACUAAGAUUAGCCCUACUUAAGCUCCUACUUUGAUAAAAUUAAAACUUAAUUUUUAUCUCAUGUCAUAGGGUGGGGCAGAAAACAAUAUCCACGUCUAUGUACAAACAAAAUUGUUGAAAUGACAAAAGAUAACCAAACAUCAAACCAGAAGUGUCUCCAGUUAAGAACCACCCAGAUCAGACAUACUGGAAAUUGAAGGUAUAUCUAUAAGACACGGAAAUUGGUAGAAGAGAAAAUUAAGUAGAAUAAAAACUAUUAUGUACUCCCUUUGCCACCCUCGAUUAACACAAUAUCAAUGACUCAUCAAAGAUCUGUCCGCGUACCAAAAACCAGACCAAGAUACCCCACAUUAAGCUCCUACAGUGAUGGAAUCAAAACCUAUUUUGUAUCUCCUGUCACAGGGUAGGCCCAAAACAAUAUCCAAGUCUAUAUAACAACAAAAGAUAUAUAAUAGAGAGAUCAAAUGCAACCAAUUAUGAACCCAGAACUGCCUUCCAGUUAAGCUUGAUUAAGAACCAAACAACGAUCAGGCAUCUGGAAAUCGAAGAGAAUAACAAUAAGCACGGGAAAGUCAAGAUGGAAGAUAAAUUAUAGCAGAAUUAAUACAAUACUAUACUCCCUCUGACACCCUCGAUAAACAUUAUAUCAGUGACAGCAUCAAAAGUUGAUAGUCUCCAUAACUAGACCAAGAUUAGCCCCACCAUAAGUGCUUCUUUCACAACUUAAUUUUUAACCCCUGUCACAAGGUGAGGCAGAAAACAAUAUCCACGUCUACGUAACAAAUAAAAGAUUGUUGAAACUGACAAAAGAUAACCAAGCAUACCAGAAGUGCCUUCCAGUUAAGAACCACCCCACAUCAGACAUCUGGAAAUUGAAGAGUAAAAUUAUAAGCACGGGAAACUCUAGCUAGAAGAGAAAAUGUAGUAGGAAAAAAUAACUAUUAUGUACUCCCUUUGCAACCCUCGAUUAACAACAUAUUAAUUGACAAUAUCAAAGAUUUUUCCGUGUCCAAAAACCAGACCAAGAUAGCCCCCACAUUAAGCUCCUAUUGCGAUGGUAUCAAAACCUAUUUUGUAUCUCCUGUCAUAGGGUGAGGGCCAAAUCAAUAUCCAAGUCUACAUAACAACAAAAUAACUAUAAUAGAAAGAGCAAGGGUAACCAAUUAUCAAACCAGAACUGCCUUCCAUUUAAGCUUGAUUAAAAACCACACAACAAUCAAGCAUCUGGAAAUUGAAGAGAAUAAAGAUAAGUAUGAGAAAGUCUAGGUGGAAGAUAAAUUUUAGUAGAAAAAAUUACUAUAAAAUACUCCCUCUGCUACCCUGGAUAAAACCUAUAUCAGAGACAGCGUGAAAGGUUUGAUCUGUGUCCAAUAACUUGACCAAGAUUAGCCCCACCUUAUGCUCCCUACUUUGAUAAAAUCAAAACUUAAAUUUUAUCUCCUGCCAUAGGAUGAGGAGAAAACAAUAUCCACGUCUACGUAGCAAACAAAAAACUGAUGAAAAAGAGAACCAAGCAUCAAACCAGAAGUGUCUUCAAGUUAAGAACCACACAACGACCAGACACCUGGGAUUGAAGAGUAUAACGAUGGAGAGUAUAACGAUAAGAACCAGAAACUCUGGGUAGAAUAGAAUAUGUAGAAGAUAAAAUACUAUUCUGUUCUCCAUCUGCCUCCCUCAAUAAACACUAUAUCAAUGCCGGCAUCAUAGAUUAGUCCAUGUCCAAAAACCCAACCAAGAUAGCCCCAACUUAGAGCUCCUACUUUGAUAGAAUUAAAACCUAUUUUGUAUCUCCUGUAACAGGGUGAGGCCCAAAACAAUAUCCAAGUCAACAUAACAACACAAAAACUACAUUUACAGAGCAAACGUAACCAAUUAUCAAACCAGCCUUCCCGUGAAGCUUGAUUAAGAACCACACAGAGAUCAGGCAUCUGCAAAUUGAUGAGAACAACAGUAAGCACGCGAUAGUCUAGGGAGAAGAUAAAAUGUUGUAAAAAAAAAUACUAUUCGAUACUCCCUCUGCCACACUCGAUAUUAACAGCGUCAAAGGUUUAUCUUCCGAUAACCAGAUUAGCCCCACCUUAAGCUCCUUCUUUUAAUACUUAAUUUUUAUCUCCUGUCAUAGGGUGAGGCAGAAAACAAUAUCCACGUCUACGUAACAAACAAAAAAUUGUUGAAACUGACAAAAGAUAACCAAGCAUCAAACCAGAAGUGCCUUCCAGUUAAGAACCACUGAACCACACAACGAAUCAUCAGACAUCUGGAGAUUGAAGAGUAUAACUAUAAGCACGGGAAACUUUAGGUAGAAGAGAAAAUGUAGUAGAAAAAAAAUACUACUCCAUGUACUCUUCCUAUUGCCACCCUUGAUUAACAAUAUACCAAUGACAGCAUCAAAGAUUUUUCCGUGCCAAAAACCAGACCAAGAUAGCCCCCACAUUAAGCUCCUAUUGUGAUAGAAUCAAAACCUAUUUUGUAUCUCCUGUCACAGAGUGAGGCCCAAAACAAUAUCGAGUCUACAUAACAACAAAAGAACUAAAAUAAAGAGAGCAAAGGUAACCAAUUAUCAAACCAGAACAGCCUUCCAGUGAAGCUAGAUUAAGAAGCUCAGAGCGAUCAAGCAUCUGAAAAUUGAUGAGAACGGUAAGCAAGGGCAAGUCUAGGUAGAGGAUAAAAUGUUGUAAAAAAAUUACUAUACUAUACUUCCUCUGCAACCCUUGAUAAAAACACAAUAUCAAUUUGUCAGCGUCAAAUGUUGGUCCGUGGCCAACAACCAGACCAAGAUUAGCACCACCAUAAGUUCCUAAUUUGAUAGAAUCAAAACAUAAUUUUUAUCUCCUGUCAUAGGGUGAGGCAGAAAACAUAAAUUCAUCAUGAUGAUCUUGAGGCUCCUCACCAGCGAUUAAUCUGUGGCCAGAGAAGAGAACAAUUGAGUAAAUUCAUAACUAUCAGCGUUUCCACCAACUGCCGAUAACCAUCAAACUAUCAGCGCGAAAGGAAAAGGACAAAAUAAACCUUCUGGCUUGAGAGAUCACGAGCUAUCCAAUCGGUUGCCCUACAGAUACAAACGAAAGUAAGCCCCGAUAACCAAUACGGCAGAGGAAAUCAUGAUCUAAAUAGACCGUCAAAACUUGAACUAUAAAAUCUGCACUCGUUGCGAAUAACUGAAUAUUAACCCAAAUCAGCAGAAGGAAUCACAAUAACCGAUCUACACAAAUCAAAUACGUCAAAGUAGAUUGAACAGAAAUCCUCCGCUAGGUCAUCUAUCCUCGCCGCCAUAUGUCAUACCAGACAGGGAAGGCUAAUGGAAAUCGCAACACAAGGAGAGAGUAACCCGAUCGAAAACACAAAACUUAAUCGCCAACGAAAUCGCACCACAAAACACAAUAACCCUAGAUAUGAAUUCAGGAGAAGAGGGCCACAAUAGAAGAAAAAUAAUAGCGAAACACGCAAAGAGGGGGGAUGGGUAGGAGAAUGUGGGGAGAUAUGGUAUAUAUAGUGAGUCAUAGAGAGACUUG